UACCAGACUCCUACGGGAGGCAGCAGUGGGGGAUAUUGCACAAUGGGGGAAACCCUGAUGCAGCGACGCCGCGUGGGUGAAGAAGUAUUUCGGUAUGUAAAGCCCUCUCAGCAGGGAAGAAAGAAGACGGUACCUGACUAAGAAGCCCCGGCUAACUACGUGCCAGCAGCCGCGGUAAUACGUAGGGGGCAAGCGUUAUCCGGAUUUACUGGGUGUAAAGGGAGCGUAGACGGCAGCGCAAGUCUGAAGUGAAGUGCCGGGGCUUAACCCCGGAACUGCUUUGGAAACUGUGCAGCUAGAGUGCAGGAGAGGUAAGUGGAAUUCCUAGUGUAGCGGUGAAAUGCGUAGAUAUUAGGAGGAACACCAGUGGCGAAGGCGGCUUACUGGACUGUAACUGACGUUGAGGCUCGAAAGCGUGGGGAGCAAACAGGAUUAGAUACCCCAGUAA
rnacentral:rRNA from 1 species